rnacentral:rRNA from 1 species
GAUGAACGCUAGCGACAGGCCUAACACAUGCAAGUCGAGGGGUAGCACAGAAUAGCUUGCUAUUUGGGUGACGACCGGCGCACGGGUGAGUAACGCGUAUGCAACCUGCCUAUAAGAGGGGGAUAGCCUUUCGAAAGAAAGAUUAAUACCGCAUAAUACUGUUUGUCUGCAUGGACGAACAGUUAAACUAUUUGGCUUAUAGAUGGGCAUGCGUUCCAUUAGAUAGUUGGUAGAGGUUAACGGCUCACCAAGUCAGCGAUGGAUAGGGGUUCUGAGAGGAAGGUCCCCCAAACUGGUACUGAGACACGGACCAGACUCCUACGGGAGCAGCAGUGA